CAAAUAGCUACUUUAACAUCAAACUACAUGCAACUUGUUUUCCCUGCUGGACUUCCAUAAUUGUGAAGCUGUGAUUACCAGAAUUUCUGAUUCAAAGAUUCUUGGCCCCGUUGACUGGAGGGUGGCCAUUUGACAACACAGAUUGUUUCCUGAGGAGGCUUUGGCUUCUGGUGACUUGGGCCCCAGGCAAGCUGGCCGAAUUGGCCGCAACCCAGAUUUGCCCUUGUAAGUGUGAAAAAUACCUCCAGUAUGACCCCAAGGCAAGAUGAAAGAAAACUGUGCUCUUGAAUGGCUUAUAGAUCCAGAGCCCCCCAACCAGCUUGAAAUGCCCACCUCAAAACAAUGACCUGAGAGGAAACAAACCUCUAAGCCGCUGUUUUUCCAAGAGCAUUAUAGUUUGAGAUCUCUCUUUCAGCAGUUUAGUCUCCAAAUAAAGACUUAUUGACCUUAUUUUACAGGUCAAGAAAAAUGAAUUUCAGGGGGACAAGUCACUAAUGUGUUAGAAAUUUUCCAGCUCUCCUUCCUUGCCCAGCAGAGGGUAUUUCCACUCAAACACAGUGCACCUGCUGGAAAGGGACAAAACAAAAUGGGAUGGGCCUGGGACAAGAGAACAUUCAGCUACACAGGAUCCACAUGAAACCCUUUCAUCUUUCCAUUUCCAGAUCUCAAAUGAGCAUUUUUGUCUAGCAGUUCUCCUCAAGAGGUUUGCUUUCCCCCCACAGCUUGUCACCAGUGUAAGGAGUUCAGAAAGAGCUUUUGGGGUUGUAGGUUAUGUGGCAUCAUCCCAGCUUGUCUCAACACCUCUGAUGAACAGUAAUGGAAGAAAGGACUCUUUCCACAUGAUUUCCUCAGCAAUCCUGUCUCUUAGGGAGUUUAUAAAAAAAAAAUCCAUCAUCUUGUUCUGCUAAACCCAGAUAAAUAUAAUUAACACCAAA